AUGGGCGCAAGCCUGAUGCAGCAACGCCGCGUGGGGGACGAAGGCCUUCGGGUUGUAAACCCCUUUUAGCAGGGAAGAAGCGCAAGUGACGGUACCUGCAGAAAAAGCACCGGCUAACUACGUGCCAGCAGCCGCGGUAAUACGUAGGGUGCAAGCGUUGUCCGGAAUUAUUGGGCGUAAAGAGCUCGUAGGCGGUGUGUCGCGUCUGCUGUGAAAAUCCAAGGCUCAACCUUGGACCUGCAGUGGGUACGGGCACACUAGAGUGCGGUAGGGGAGAUUGGAAUUCCUGGUGUAGCGGUGGAAUGCGCAGAUAUCAGGAGGAACACCAAUGGCGAAGGCAGAUCUCUGGGCCGUAACUGACGCUGAGGAGCGAAAGCGUGGGGAGCGAACAGGAUUAGAUACCCUGGUAGUCCACGCCGUAAACGGUGGGAACUAGAUGUGGGGUCCGUUCCACGGAUUCCGUGUCGCAGCUAACGCAUUAAGUUCCCCGCCUGGGGAGUACGGCCGCAAGGCUAAAACUCAAA
rnacentral:rRNA from 1 species